rnacentral:rRNA from 1 species
UACGUAGGGGGCUAGCGUUGUCCGGAAUCAUUGGGCGUAAAGAGCGUGUAGGCGGUCCGGUAAGUCCGCUGUGAAAGUCGGGGGCUCAACCCUCGAAUGCCGGUGGAUACUGUCGGGCUAGAGUACGGAAGAGGCGAGUGGAAUUCCUGGUGUAGCGGUGAAAUGCGCGAUAUCAGGAGGAACACCUAUGGCGAAGGCAGCUCGCUGGGACGUGACUGACGC